ACUCAUCAACCCUGUGAACAUACCUAAAACGUUGCUUCGGCGGGAACAGACGGCCCCGUAAAACGGGCCGCCCCCGCCAGAGGACCCCUAACUCUGUUGCUAUAUGUAUCUUCUGAGUAAACAAGCAAAUAAAUUAAAACUUUCAACAACGGAUCUCUUGGCUCUGGCAUCGAUGAAGAACGCAGCGAAAUGCGAUAAGUAAUGUGAAUUGCAGAAUUCAGUGAAUCAUCGAAUCUUUGAACGCACAUUGCGCCCGCCAGUAUUCUGGCGGGCAUGCCUGUUCGAGCGUCAUUACAACCCUCAGGCCCCCGGGCCUGGCGUUGGGGAUCGGCGAGGCGCCCCCUGUGGGCACGCGCCGUCCCCCAAAUACAGUGGCGGUCCCGCCGCAGCUUCCAUUGCGUAGUAGCUAACACCUCGCAACUGGAGAGCGGCGCGGCCAUGCCGUAAAACACCCAACUUCUGAAUGUUGACCUCGAAUCAGGUAGGAAUACCCGCUGAACUUAAGCAUAUCAAUAAGCGGAGGAA
rnacentral:rRNA from 1 species